rnacentral:rRNA from 1 species
AUUGAACGCUGGCGGCAGGCCUAACACAUGCAAGUCGAACGAGUGGCGGACGGGUGAGUAAUGUCUGGGAAACUGCCCGAGGGAGGGGGAUAACUACUGGAAACGGUAGCUAAUACCGCAUACCAUCGGAUGUGCCCAGAUGGGAUUAGCUAGUAGGUGGGGUAACGGCUCACCUAGGCGACGGUCCCUAGCUGGUCUGAGAGGAUGACCAGCCACACUGGAGCUGAGACACGGUCCAGACUCCUACGUGAGGCACCAGUGGGGAAUAGUGGACAAUGGGCGCGAGCCUGAUGCAGCCAUGCCGCGUGUGUGAAGAAGGCCUUCGGGUUGUAAAGUCCUUUCAGCGGGGAGGCGUUACCCGCAGAAGAAGCACCGGCUAACUCCGUGCCAGCAGCCGCGGUAAUAC